CUUCAAGUUAAACACAUCAUCUGGUUAGACACAGAGUCAAUUUCACACAGGUGCUUUGAUAAAUGAAUUCUUCUGAUAGUUCUUAGUUGCUGAACAGUCAUAUAGCCACACACUUCUCUCUUCUGCUGAAAAAUGAGUUACAGCAAUGGGAAAGGAACUGAACUGGAAUUUUUGACUUCUAUUGAUGUUACCACAAUAUCCUUCGAAAAGAACAACAUCAGCAAGAUGUUCCAUAUUUGCAAGUUCUAACUGAAUACUACAGUGAUACCUUCCCAAGACUUUGACUUCCAGAUAAUGCAGAUGAUAUGGUUUCCUUUUUGGCAGCCUUAUAGACAAACAGAAGAAGAAAUGCUACAACUGGACUGGAUAUGUCUAUCUGCAAAGGAGUCUCUGGUGAAAAAAUAUCAUGAAUAUCUCUCCUCUCCUCUCCUCUCCUCUCCU
ensembl:lncRNA